rnacentral:rRNA from 1 species
CGUAGGUGGCAAGCGUUGUCCGGAUUUACUGGGCGUAAAGAGCGCGCAGGCGGUCGUUCAAGUCGCGUGUGAAAGCCCCCGGCUCAACUGGGGAGGGUCACGCGAUACUGAUCGACUCGAAGGCAGGAGAGGGUAGUGGAAUUCCCGGUGUAGUGGUGAAAUGCGUAGAUAUCGGGAGGAACACCCAGGGGGAAACCAGUGGACUGGCACGGUGCUGACGCUCAGGUGCGAAAGCGUGGGGAGCGAACCGG